UGCAGUCGAGCGGCAGCACGGGUACUUGUACCUGGUGGCGAGCGGCGGACGGGUGAGUAAUGCCUAGGAAUCUGCCUGGUAGUGGGGGAUAACGCUCGGAAACGGACGCUAAUACCGCAUACGUCCUACGGGAGAAAGCAGGGGACCUUCGGGCCUUGCGCUAUCAGAUGAGCCUAGGUCGGAUUAGCUAGUUGGUGAGGUAAUGGCUCACCAAGGCGACGAUCCGUAACUGGUCUGAGAGGAUGAUCAGUCACACUGGAACUGAGACACGGUCCAGACUCCUACGGGAGGCAGCAGUGGGGAAUAUUGGACAAUGGGCGAAAGCCUGAUCCAGCCAUGCCGCGUGUGUGAAGAAGGUCUUCGGAUUGUAAAGCACUUUAAGUUGGGAGGAAGGGCAUUAACCUAAUACGUUAGUGUUUUGACGUUACCGACAGAAUAAGCACCGGCUAACUCUGUGCCAGCAGCCGCGGUAAUACAGAGGGUGCAAGCGUUAAUCGGAAUUACUGGGCGUAAAGCGCGCGUAGGUGGUUCGUUAAGUUGGAUGUGAAAUCCCCGGGCUCAACCUGGGAACUGCAUUCAAAACUGUCGAGCUAGAGUAUGGUAGAGGGUGGGUGGAAUUUCCUGUGUAGCCGGUGAAAUGCCGUAGAUUUAGGAAGGAACACCCAGGUGGGCGAAAGGCGAACCACCC
rnacentral:rRNA from 1 species